CUCCGAUACAAAUAGCCUCAUUGAAGCUGAUUCCUAACGAUUAAUAGUUAGUAACUACAAAUAAAAUAUAAAAUAAAUUCAAAAUGAGUAAGGACACAAAUCGAGUGCAUUCGUUCCGUGCCCCUCCAUGAAUACAGGCAAAUGUGUACCACUGCUCAUCAAUAACAAGUUUAUUCAACUCAAAUAUUCGGUAUUCAUCAAAUUUUCCUCUUCAAUAAAGCAUGGCUCGAUGGAGUACAACAGAUCUAAUAAAAUAAGUUCUACCACUCACUCAACCACACAAGAGAUGAUAUUACCUUGGCAUUGCCAUUGUGCAGCCACGAGAUGAUAUGAUCAAUGAACAAUCCAAUGUCCUGACACUCAAUGCUGUUAUUGGGAUCGCUGAGUCCUUUCUGCGAGCCGGUCAUUGGCCCAUCCCAAGUGCAAACAUGAUCCUUACGUAGACCAAAUCAGCCAACGGAUAUCAACCUUGAAGAGUCACUGAAUCACUCGCGACAAGAAUCAAAAAUCAAAGCACUCUACUGCUCGAUCUACUCUCGACAAUGAAAAUUCCUCAGGGGCACAAAUUAAAUUGAGCAAUUAGUUAAACAAUUGGGGCGAAGAUUCCACACCAGGGAGUUUAUAAACACUGAGGAUCACUAAGGGUCGAGCAACACUUGGGACAAAAAUUCCCUUAAAACUCAAUCAAUUGAGAAAAAUAAUAAUUAUGUGUUCUAUUGAAAAUAAGACUAGGCUUCCUUGAGGAACCAAUUGAUGAUUUCUAAUUUAUUUAUUUGCUUUUAUCGUGAUGUUUUUGGUGAUGGAGAAGGCUCCAGUUGUGGGAGGUGAGACAACUGUCGAGAGGGUGAUUGAAUUAAUAACGUUUUCACUGAUUUUCUCUUGGUUAUUAGUUUACUCCACUUACGAUCUUUCCAAGUUUUUUAUUCACGGUCUUUUUAGAUAUCGGAUGGUUUUAUUGAGAAAUUUGGAAACUUCUCGUUACUCAACGAGUCGACAUACUCGCCGCAAGCACCGCCAUUUUACUUUGGAAACUCCACAUUUAUUUUUUUUUUUUUUUCAAUUUUCGUAUUAGUUGCUAGUCUUGACGGUAGGUAACGCCAGGGAAGAUUGGACCAAUAAGAAUAUGGAUAAGUGUUUAGGAUAAUUUAAAUUUUUUCUCACCGAUCGAACUUAGAUCAAUCGACAAUAAGUUUUGAUUUUCUCAUUAUUUAUUUAACUAAUAUUGUUAAUUAUUUUUGCCUUAUUUACAGGUAAUUUUACAGCCACAUUUACAAUAUUUUACAAUUAAUUCAAUUCAUUAAUUAUAAUCCGUAAUUAGCGCGAUGGAGCACACAGUCAACUUAUAUUAAGAAGAUGAUACGUACUUGCUAGUUUCUCAUUAUUUGAAAAAAAAAAAAAAAAAAAACAAAACAAAAAAAAACAAAACAAACAAAAAUCACUAUUGCUCACCUGAUGAAUAAAUAUUAAAAUGAAUGAGAUAUUUUAUUCGUAGAUUUUCUAUACCUGUCAAUUGGCGCGUCCAGAUUGACGUGAGAAUUUAAAUUCAUUUCAUCGUAAUUCAGCUAUAUAUAGUUCAAUUUUUAUAAGGCGGCCCUAAUACGUACAAUUAUAUCCAACAAUACAAUAAAUAAAUUGUUUGAAGAUUAUCUGUUGAAAUUAUUUACAAAAUAAUUCAUCAUCAA